CACCGCGGUCAUACGAGAGGCCCCAGUUGAUAGCCCCGGCGUAAAGCGUGGUUAAGGAGUACAAACAAUUAAAGCCAAAUAUUUCCCAGGCCGUCGUACGUUUUCUGGAAACACGAAGCCCAAACACAAAAGUAGCUUUAUCCCGCCUGACCCCACGAAAGCUAAGAAA
rnacentral:rRNA from 1 species